rnacentral:rRNA from 1 species
UACCAGCCCCCUGAGUGGUAAGGACGAUUAUUUGGCUUAAAGCGUCCGUAGCCGGCUUGGUGAGUCUCUUGUUAAAUCCAAUGAUUCAAUCAUUGAACUGCAAGAGAUACUACUAUGCUAGAGGACGGGAGAGGUCGACGGUAGUCCAAGGGUAGGGGUGAAAUCCUAUAAUCCUUGGAGGACCACCAGUGGCGAAGGCGGUCGACUAGAACGCGCCUGACGGUGAGGGACGAAAGCUGGGGGAGCGAACCGGAUUAGAUACCCGGGUAGUCCCAGCUGUAAACGAUGCGGGCUAGGUGUAGGGGCAGCUACGAGCUGCUCCUGUGCCGCAGAGAAAUUGUUAAGCCCGCCGCCUGGGGAUACGAUCGCAAGAUUGAAACUUAAAAGAAUUGGCGGGGAGCACCACAAGGGGUGAAGGCUGCGGUUU